rfam:Capsicum annuum cultivar Zunla-1 chromosome 12, whole genome shotgun sequence
ACUUCAUGAUGUGGGAAUUAAGGUAUCUUACCGUUAAACCUCUCCCAUGCAUCAAACAACAAAUCAACAUUCAUUUGCCAAAAAUUUAUCAUCUCAUCCCACUUUGAAGU